ensembl:misc_RNA 7SK 7SK RNA
GGAUGUGAGGACAAUCUGGCUAUGACAUCUGUCACUCCAUUGAUCGCCAGGGUUGAUUUGGCUGAUUUGACUGGCUAUGCAGGAGUGCCCUUCCUCCCUCAAUGAUCCAUGUGCUUCCCUUUUGAAGCUGUGCACUCCAUGGAAGUGGAAGACCACCCACAGUAGAAGAGGACUGUUGCUCAGUCUAGGGUAUAUGAGUAGCUGUGCUCCCCUGCUAGAACUUCAAAUCAGGGAUUGUGAUGUAUCCUGUCUUGCCUUUCUUGCCCAGGAUUGCCUGUGCUAUUCUAGAUCUCUCUUGUUUCCAAAUAAAUUUUAGGGAUGAUUUCUCUAGAUAU